GAAACCGUAACCCUAACCUAGCCCUUCCUCUUUAUCCCGACCUUUUCGUUCCUGACCCCUUCUCCUUCAUCGCGAAUGGGCACUGAACAAAUGAUUGGCUGAGAAGCUGAAAGCUUGGUUUGAGUGUGCAAGAUCUUUAAAGUAAAUCAAUUUUGUCUGGUUUGGACUGUCACCAUACUGUCUCCUAAUUUAAUGAAGAAUCCAAUUUUUGCAUGUUCUAAUUCAAGUUAGCUACUAUUAGAUUGUUCUGUUUAUAUUCUUGAUUAUGGACUCACAUUUUGGCAGGCUAAAUUAAUAGAGUGUUGGUUGAGGUUGUAAUUUUCAUUAAUGCAAGGAAAGCCUCUGCCUAAUUGGUCCCUGUAGACUUUAAUACAUGGUAGCUCUGUCCUUGGGAAUCCGCUUUGAUUGGCUCUGUUGUUGUAUUAUUAAUAUGUAUAAUUUACAAAAAAUACAUUCCAUAUAUACUAUUUUCUGCAUGCAGUUUCUUAGAACUCUUAAUACAUUGCAUAUAAAGGCCAUGAGUAAUAAUAUCAUGGCCUAUAGAGAUGUCUAUACUAUGUUGUCAAAAUGGGCAGUGAAUAAAGAUGUUUAUUUUGUUCUUUUAA